rnacentral:rRNA from 1 species
UACGGAGGAUGCAAGCGUUAUCCGGAAUGAUUGGCGUAAAGCGUCCGCAGGUGGCUGUGUAAGUCUGCUGUUAAAGAGUGAGGCUCAACCUCAUAAAGCAGUGGAAACUACACGGCUAGAGUGCGUUCGGGGCAGAGGGAAGUUCCUGGUGUAGCGGUGAAUGCGUAGAUAUCAGGAAGAACACCGGUGGCGAAAGCGCUCUGCUAGGCCGCAACUGACACUGAGGACGAAGCUAGGGAGCGAACCGGG